UACGAAGGGGGCGAGCGUUGUUCGGAAUUACUGGGCGUAAAGGGCGCGCAGGCGGCCCUUGAAGUCAGGCGUGAAAGCCCCCGGCUCAACUGGGGAGGGUCGCGGAAAACUGUCGGGCUGGAGUGUCGGAGAGGGAAGUGGAAGUCCCGGAGUAGGGGUGAAAUCCGUAGGGACCGGGCCGAACACCAGUGGCGAAGGCGACUUCCUGGCCGACGACUGACGCUGAGGCGCGAAAGCGUGGGGAGCGAACGGG
rnacentral:rRNA from 1 species